rnacentral:rRNA from 1 species
UACGUAGGGUGCAAGCGUUGUCCGGAAUUAUUGGGCGUAAAGAGCUCGUAGGCGGUCUGUUGCGUCGGCUGUGAAAACCCGGGGCUCAACCCCGGGCCUGCAGCCGAUACGGGCAGACUAGAGUUCGGCAGGGGAGACUGGAAUCCCUGGUGUAGCGGUGAAAUGCGCAGAUAUCAGGAGGAACACCGGUGGCGAAGGCGGGUCUCUGGGCCGAUACUGACGCUGAGGCACGAAAGCGUGGGGAGCAAACAGG